rnacentral:rRNA from 1 species
GUCAAAUCAUCAUGCCCUUUAUGCCCAGGGCUUCACACAUGCUACAAUGGUUAGUACAACGCGCGGCGAGCCUGUGAGGGUGAGCGAAUCUCGGAAAGCCGGUCUCAGUUCGGAUUGGGGUCUGCAACUCGACCCCAUGAAGUCGGAGUCGCUAGUAAUCGCAGAUCAGCAACGCUGCGGUGAAUACGUUCCCGGGGCUUGUACACACCCCGUCAAGUCAUGAAAGUU